rnacentral:rRNA from 1 species
GAUGAACGCUGGCGGCGUGCCUAAUACAUGCAAGUCGAGCGAACAGACGAGGAGCUUGCUCCUCUGACGUUAGCGGCGGACGGGUGAUUAACACGUGGAUAACCUACCUAUAAGACUGGGAUAACUUCGGGCAACCGGCGCUACUACCGGAUCAUAUAUUGAACCGCAUGGUUCAAUAGUGAAAGUCGGUUUUGCUGUCACUUACAGAUGGAUCCGCGCCGCAUUAGCUAGUUGGUAAGGUAACGCCUUACCAAGGCGACGAUGCGUAGCCGACCUGAGAGGGUGAUAGGCCACACUGGAACUGAGACACGGGACAGACUCCGACGGGAGGCAGCAGUAGGGAAUCUUCCGCAAUGGGCGAAAGCCUGACGGAGCAACGCCGCGUGAGUGAUGAAGGUCUUCGGAUCGUAAAACUCGGUUAUUAGGGAAGAACAAAUGUGUAAGUAACGAUGCACGUCUUGACGGUACCUAAGCAGAAAGCCACGGCUAACUACGUGC